AUCCUGUCAGCGAGGGGCCGUGCCAGCGCUGGAGCCUGCCGGCGGCUGGUGACAUUUAUUUUCGAAAUGCUGCGCUUAAGUUUGGUUUCUUAAUGUCAUAAUAGCAACAGCUCCACAUCUCGCGCUGCUCCUGAAGCGCAGGGUUGGUCUGUGCGCUGGUCCUGCUGGCACCUCCCUGGAGAAGCCCAAGUACAGCAUGAGAGAUAAGCGACAGGCCUCAACCAGUCUGGGAAAAAAAUAUUCCAUUAAAAUGGGGGGGAAAAAAGGGUGAGGAGGGGCUGCAUCUCUACCCAAAAAUCUCUAAGCUUGGCAGCCCAGCGGCGGCUAUUGGACAGAAUUCCACCUUUCUCCUCCCCCCCAUGUGCAGGCCUGCAGCUGGGUGUCCAUAAGAAGCACUGCACCUCAUCCAAAGACCCCCAAACCUUCAGAGAACGAACACUGAGGUAUAAUGGAGUCAGAGCCACAUGCAGCUGUGGGGCCCUGAUGUUCUCCCCACUGGCACGCAAACUCUUUGUGACCAUUUUGGAAGCAGAAGCACAGCAGAAGACAAUCCUCAGAAGCUGGUGACAUUCUUAACUCCAGACAUCACGAGGCUCAGCUGCACUGCUGCAAUCCCAGCGACCUUCAUCUCUCUACAGAGAGAACUGUGCUUGAAAGCUUUAAGUAAAAAAGCUGAUCGCUGAUUGCCAGCAGAGACGUGGUCUAGCACUUUUCCUUGUGUAAGCUUGGAGCAACUCCAGUGUGCUUGUAGAUUUGCUCUACUGAACAAACAAACAAAAAAAAAAAACAGUCUGACUAAUACUGUCAAUCCUAAAAUCCAAAUUUAGUUCCUAAAACCCCAUUAUGUUUGUUUAAAAAUAUUUGAGCUGUGCUGAUGUGGUCAGCAGCGCUGUUUGUCUGCAUACUGUCUCUCUGAUCCCCAGUUUCCCUUUACUGCUAACAAAAUGCAUUCAAAUCCCCAGGAAGAAGCACAUUAAUACUGCCGCAUCCUUCUUGAUCAAACUUUCCGGACAGCUCAGCAUUUUCUGACUGAAAACACACGGUUGGGAGUGUUUCAUGGGAAUGAGCUGAAAGUUAGGGAACACUGACCUCUUCUGGGUGAUUCUAGAAAAGGCAGGAGAGCAUGCUCAGCCUUUUAUGGUUGGUUGCAUACAGCAGCCCUCAGUGCAGUUGUAAACCUCGCUGAAAUCUUUGUUAUUUGACUUUACAGCAGUAGCAUAUGGCAAAAAGCCAACAAUUAGCAGUUUACAGAAGGUAAUCAGUUUUAAUAGUCGCAGUAGGCUGUGAUCAUGGCCAAGAGCAGCCUUAAGGAUUUGUGAGAGUAAACUCUGGAUAUUUUGAGAC